rnacentral:rRNA from 1 species
CUAACACAUGCAAGUCGAGCGGAUGAGAAGAGCUUGCUCUUCGAUUCAGCGGCGGACGGGUGAGUAAUGCCUAGGAAUCUGCCUGGUAGUGGGGGACAACGUUUCGAAAGGAACGCUAAUACCGCAUACGUCCUACGGGAGAAAGCAGGGGACCUUCGGGCCUUGCGCUAUCAGAUGAGCCUAGGUCGGAUUAGCUAGUUGGUGAGGUAAUGGCUCACCAAGGCGACGAUCCGUAACUGGUCUGAGAGGAUGAUCAGUCACACUGGAACUGAGACACGGUCCAGACUCCUACGGGAGGCAGCAGUGGGGAAUAUUGGACAAUGGGCGAAAGCCUGAUCCGGCCAUGCCGCGUGUGUGAAGAAGGUCUUCGGAUUGUAAAGCACUUUAAGUUGGGAGGAAGGGCAUUAACCUAAUACGUUAGUGUUUUGACGUUACCGACAGAAUAAGCACCGGCUAACUCUGUGCCAGCAGCCGCGGUAAUACAGAGGGUGCAAGCGUUAAUCGGAAUUACUGGGCGUAAAGCGCGCGUAGGUGGUUUGUUAAGUUGAAUGUGAAAGCCCCGGGCUCAACCUGGGAACUGCAUCCAAAACUGGCAAGCUAGAGUACGGUAGAGGGUGGUGGAAUUUCCUGUGUAGCGGUGAAAUGCGUAGAUAUAGGAAGGAACACCAGUGGCGAAGGCGACCACAUGGACUGAUACUGACACUGAGGUGCGAA